AAAAAAGAAGAAGAAGCCAAAGAAAGAGGACCAGAGGAAGGAAGUUGAAGAGGAAACAGGAGAUGGUGAUGUGAUGAGAGAGGAAAGGCGAAUUACAAGAUGAAUACAUGUGAGGGAAGGAUAAGCCGGCCGCAUGCGACAGCCUGCUUCACUUCACGUCGCUUCUGCACGUCUCUCUUUCACACGGCGUGAGAGCAGAGGUCACGCUCAGCGGUGGAGAGCCCCCAUGAACCCCCCCGACCUCCUUCUUAGGACUUAAGUGUGAUAUAUGAAUGUAAAGAUUCAUUUGUUUAAAGAAAUAUUGCCUGUGAAUAUAAUCCAAGCAGUGAUUAUGUCUGCCUUUUUUAGUUGUAUACGAAGGUUGGUCCACUCUAGUAUUUCCAGGUGAUGAAGAGAACAUUAAAUCGGCUAAAAUCUCUUCUUCUUCGUCCUAUUUUCAGUCGACAAACAACAAAACUGCAUCAUAGCCAACAUCUGGCGUGGAGUAAGACAGACCGCCAAUCUAACCAAAUCAAUUUAUCGUCUGUAUUAACAUUUAAACUGACUGAUCACAGCAAAACUUUGCUGCCGUACAGUCGACUGUGGUCAGGUUUCCACCCGGAUGUAAAGAAAAAUUAUAGCAUUUAACAUUUUUGAUCGCACAUGGGCUUGUUGAUAGUUGGUCUCAUGUUUCUGUUAUAUGUUCUCUGACAAUGCAGUUUGAAAUAAAGUAUAAAAACAC